UACGGAGGGUGCGAGCGUUGUCCGGAAUCACUGGGCGUAAAGCGCGCGUAGGCGGCUUUGUAAGUUAGAGGUGAAAGCCCGGGGCUCAACCCCGGAACUGCCUUUAAAACUGCAUCGCUUGAAUCCGGGAGAGGUGAGUGGAAUUCCGAGUGUAGAGGUGAAAUUCGUAGAUAUUCGGAAGAACACCAGUGGCGAAGGCGGCUCACUGGACCGGCAUUGACGCUGAGGUGCGAAAGCGUGGGGAGCAAACAGG
rnacentral:rRNA from 1 species